rnacentral:rRNA from 1 species
GAUGAACGCUGGCGGCGUGCCUAAUACAUGCAAGUCGAGCGAACAGACGAGGAGCUUGCUCCUUCGACGUUAGCGGCGGACGGGUGAGUAACACGUAGGUAACCUACCUAUAAGACUGGGAUAACUUCGGGAAACCGGAGCUAAUACCGGAUAAUAUUUCGCACCGCAUGGUUCGAUAGUGAAAGAUGGCUUUGCUAUCACUUAUAGAUGGACCUGCGCCGUAUUAGCUAGUUGGUAAGGUAACGGCUUACCAAGGCAACGAUACGUAGCCGACCUGAGAGGGUGAUCGGCCACACGGGAACUGAGACACGGUCCAGACUCCUACGGGAGGCAGCAGUAGGGAAUCUUCCGCAAUGGGCGAAAGCCUGACGGAGCAACGCCGCGUGAGUGAUGAAGGUCUUCGGAUCGUAAAACUCUGUUAUUAGGGAAGAACAAACGUGUAAGUAACUGUGCACGUCUUGACGGUACCUAAUCAGAAAGCCACGGCUAACUACGUG